GCAUGCUCACAUGCUCUCCACUGGAAGUUGUUAUGGCCAGAGCCCCUCGGUCACGGCCAAACAAAACUAAUGAUGCAGGUAGGGUUUCCAGAAGCAGCGCUUCAGAAUGAGCUCUCGCUGUCAGCAAUUCUGCCAAGAAAUGGAGGUUUCAAGUGAUGGAAGGAAGACGCCCAAAAUGUCCUUGAUGUGCCAACCUGGAAAAGAGACGGGGCACGUUUAUUCUUGACAUCGAGGGGUUCCUGAGUGUGGAGAACUCUUGGUGCCACUUUCUAGGAAUUUGACAGGAAUUUGACAUUGGGCUAGAACAAGGAAGUAGGCUCGAGAUGGAUCCAGCUGAGGAAUGUGUUCUUUGUGUAUUGCUGGGUCUUGUUAAGACCCUGAAUAAGGACUGACCAUAUUCUUUGCAUGUCUCCAGAAUGGUAUAAAAGCAGACUGGAGAAAAAUAAACCCACUUCAGCUUUAGAACUGGCUGGAGUCAAGUUGCAAAGCACAGAUGUUCCAUACCUCCAUACUCAGCCUCAGGAUGUGAUGUAGCGCCCCCGGCACCGUCUAUUAAAUCUG